CCUACGGGAGGCAGCAGUAAGGAAUCUUGCGCAAUGGGCGAAAGCCUGACGCAGCGACGCCGCGUGGGCGAUGAAGGCCUUCGGGUUGUAAAGCCCUUUUCUGGGGGACGAGGAAGGACGGUACCCCAGGAAUAAGUCACGGCUAACUACGUGCCAGCAGCCGCGGUAAAACGUAGGUGGCAAGCGUUAUCCGGAAUCACUGGGCGUAAAGCGCGCGUAGGCGGUCGGGUAAGUCGGAUGUGAAAGCCCCUGGCUCAACUGGGGGAGGCCAUUCGAUACUGCUCGGCUUGAGGGUGAGAGAGGAGAGUGGAAUUCCCGGUGUAGCGGGGGAAUGCGUAGAGUCCGGGAGAAACCCCAGUGGCGAAGGCGGCUCUCUGGCUCACUCCUGACGCUGAGUGCGCGAAAGCGUGGGGAGCAAACGGGAUUAGAUCCCCUGGUAGU
rnacentral:rRNA from 1 species